rnacentral:tRNA from 1 species
GCCACCGUAGUGCAGAGGUUAGCAUGUCCGCCUAUGACGCUGAACUCCUAGGUUCGAAUCCUGGCGAAAACA